AAUCCAUAGGUUAAUGAGGCGAACCGGGGGAACUGAAACAUCUAAGUACCCCGAGGAAAAGAAAUCAACCGAGAUUCCCCCAGUAGCGGCGAGCGAACGGGGAGGAGCCCAGAGCCUGAAUCAGCAUGUGUGUUAGUGGAAGCGUCUGGAAAGGCGCGCGAUACAGGGUGACAGCCCCGUACACAAAAGCGCAUGUGCUGUGAGCUCGAUGAGUAGGGCGGGACACGUGGUAUCCUGUCUGAAUAUGGGGGGACCAUCCUCCAAGGCUAAAUACUCCUGACUGACCGAUAGUGAACCAGUACCGUGAGGGAAAGGCGAAAAGAACCCCGGCGAGGGGAGUGAAAAAGAACCUGAAACCGUGUACGUACAAGCAGUGGGAGCACAGGUUUACCUGUGUGACUGCGUACCUUUUGUAUAAUGGGUCAGCGACUUAUAUUCUGUAGCAAGGUUAACCGAAUAGGGGAGCCGGAGGGAAACCGAGUCUUAAUUGGGCGUUAAGUUGCAGGGUAUAGACCCGAAACCCGGUGAUCUAGCCAUGGGCAGGUUGAAGGUUGGGUAACACUAACUGGAGGACCGAACCGACUAAUGUUGAAAAAUUAGCGGAUGACCUGUGGCUGGGGGUGAAAGGCCAAUCAAACCGGGAGAUAGCUGGUUCUCCCCGAAAGCUAUUUAGGUAGCGCCUCGUGAAUUCAUCUCCGGGGGUAGAGCACUGUUUCGGCUAGGGGGCCAUCCCGGCUUACCAACCCGAUGCAAACUGCGAAUACCGGAGAAUGUUAUCACGGGAGACACACGGCGGGUGCUAACGUCCGUCGUGAAGAGGGAAACAACCCAGACCGCCAGCUAAGGUCCCAAAGUCAUGGUUAAGUGGGAAACGAUGUGGGAAGGCCCAGACAGCCAGGAUGUUGGCUUAGAAGCAGCCAUCAUUUAAAGAAAGCGUAAUAGCUCACUGGUCGAGUCGGCCUGCGCGGAAGAUGUAACGGGGCUAAACCAUGCACCGAAGCUGCGGCAGCGACACUGUGUGUUGUUGGGUAGGGGAGCGUUCUGUAAGCCUGUGAAGGUGUGUCGUGAGGCAUGCUGGAGGUAUCAGAAGUGCGAAUGCUGACAUAAGUAACGAUAAAGCGGGUGAAAAGCCCGCUCGCCGGAAGACCAAGGGUUCCUGUCCAACGUUAAUCGGGGCAGGGUGAGUCGACCCCUAAGGCGAGGCC
rnacentral:rRNA from 1 species